CCAAGAGCUGCCUCAAGGCGGCGGAGGGCAGCGCGCCGGAGCUGCUGGGCGCCCGGCCGCGCGCCUGCGAGGCCAAGGCGUGCUUCCAGCCGGGGCAGCAGCUGCUGGAGGCCAAGCCGCGGAUCUGGUCCCUGGCGCACACCGCCACCUCCCUCAGCCAGGCCGAGUACCCCUCCUGCAUGCUCAAGCGCCAAGGGGCGGCCGCCGCCUCCGCCGUCUCUGCCCCGCUCGGUGUCAUCGACCGGCACCAGGACUCGCCGGUCACCAGCCUCAGGAACUGGGUGGAUGGGGUGUUUCACGACCCCCUCUUCAGGCACAGUACUUUGAACCAAGCCUUGGGCAGCACCACCGUUUCCUGGGCCACCACCAAAGGGGCCAUCCUGGAAACGGGARCCUUGGGACGCUCGGUGGGCAGCGGCGCCAGCGCGCUCAAGGGGCAGCUCUCAAACUUGGCCCACCAGGACUCAAGCAAAGAAUUUGUUGCAUUUCCCAAAUCAGGAAGCAAAAUGUUUUGUUCCUAACGGCCCACCGCGGGCGAGAGGACUUGCUAACACUUGAAGAGUCAGCUACACUGAAAAGAGACUGGCGAGAGUUUAAAUUUAAAUAUAAAACUUUUUUUAAGCAACAGAAACAAGGAUUUAAAGUUCAGUUUGCUCGGUUCAACGGACAGACUGCUUUACCCAUCGCUGUUCUGAAGAAUUUCUCCUGGCUACGACUCUAAGGGAUCAAUGUCGUGAGAGUUAUUUAAUUCCAUGUCCGAAAGCACGUACUAUAGUGUAGACCUACUUAAAACGUUUACAUCCCAAAGUUUACAAAAGAGAAAUUUUAAUUCAGAUUUAAUUUAAGGCAUGCCAGCAUUAGUUAUAAAGACUUUUCGAGAGUUUUUCCUUCUAAUUUCCUUGUUAGCAUAUAAUUCACAAACAGCACUUCUACUAAGUUUACACCUACUGCACAAAUUUAUCUUGACAAAGAUAUGUUAAAAGGUAUGUUCACUCCAAUAAAUUGUCUGUUUCAGAG
rnacentral:lncRNA from 1 species